rnacentral:misc_RNA from 1 species
GAUGAAGAACGCAGCGAAAUGCGAUAAGUAAUGUGAAUUGCAGAAUUCAGUGAAUCAUCGAAUCUUUGAACGCACAUUGCGCCCCUUGGUAUUCCGAGGGGCAUGCCUGUUCGAGCGUCAUUAUAACCCCUCAAGCUCAGCUUGGUGUUGGGGCCUGCUGCACUGGCAGCCCUUAAAAUCAGUGGCGGCGCCAUCUGGCUCUAAGCGUAGUAAUUCUUCUCGCUAUGGAGUCCUGGUGGAUGCUUGCCAUCAACCCCCAAUUUUUCUAUGGUUGACCUCGGAUCAGGUAGGGAUACCCGCUGAACUAAAGCAUAUCAAUAAGCGGAGGA